rnacentral:rRNA from 15 species
CCUGCACGAAUGGCGUAACGACUUCCCCACUGUCUCAGCCAGGGACUCAGCGAAAUUGAAUUGCCGGUGAAGAUGCCGGCGACCCGCGGCAGGACGGAAAGACCCCGUGCACCUUUACUACAGCUUCGCAGUGAUCAUCGGUUCAUUACGUGUAGGAUAGCUGGGAGACUUUGAAGCCGGGACGCCAGUCUCGGUGGAGUCAACCUUGAAAUACCAGCCUUGAUGUAUUGCUGAUCUAACCUGGGCCCGUCAUCCGGGUCGGGGACACUGCGUGGUGGGUAGUUUGACUGGGGCG